CCACUGUCCCUGUCUACUAUCCA
rnacentral:siRNA from 1 species